rnacentral:rRNA from 1 species
UGCCAGCCGCCGCGGUAAUACGGAGGGUGCGAGCGUUAAUCGGAAUCACUGGGCGUAAAGCGUACGUAGGUGGCAAAGUCAGUCGGGCGUGAAAGCCCUCGGCUCAACCGAGGAAUUGCGUUUGAUACUACUUUGCUAGAGUCUCGGAGAGGUUGGCGGAAUUCCAGGUGUAGGAGUGAAAUCCGUAGAUAUCUGGAGGAACACCUGUGGCGAAGGCGGCUUCCUGGGCCAUUACUGACGCUGAGGCACGAAAGCGUUGGGUAGCAAACGGGAUUAGAUA